AAAUCCUGGAGAGAAUGCAUUGAGCAGCUAUCUGAGAACUAUGAAGAGCAAACAGCAAAGCUAUUGGAGAAGAUAAGAAUUUGAAGUAUAACCAAGCUGGCAUUAAAGGCCUGAAUAGAAGAAAAAGGCUGAUCCUCCCAAGAAGAAGAAACUCUACCGGACUAUGUAAUCAUAAGGAGACAUUAUGGUACCAGUAGUGAAAAAUCUUGGAACCCUCAUCAAAUAUAGCAGCAUAAUGUGCAGCUGAAUGCUAUGUCUGUAUAAUGCCAGAACAUUCCUAUGAACGUGAAGAAAAGAGAUUUAAUGAUUCAGGUGUUAUAUAAGCAUCUGCAUAUCUUAUGUCAUUCAAUUCUUAUAGCUGUUCUUGUCUGCUUGUGUGGUGAGUAGCCCGGAUUAGAAUUCUCCUGAACCAUAAAUGAUACAGACUAGACUAUAUGCAAUUUGGCUUGUAGUCAUUGAAUGAAAAAGCAUUCUACUUAUGGUAUACAAAUUUCAAUUCAUGCUUUUAAUCCCCAUUCAGUUAGUCGUUGG